CGAAGGUGGUGGGUCCCUGCACCUAUGUAAGCCUCUUCCUUUUCCGCAUCGUUUGGAUGUCUAUGGACGGCACCUUCAUGAUCGAAAAGAACGCUGCACUAACGGACUCACUGAUGGAUAUGAAUUGGCUAGUAAUGACGCAGGAAGCUAAAAAGAGACGGAAGGUGCUCUUACAAAAGGCUAAACGUCCAUUCGGUGUCGAAGUGAUGGGUUUUUUCAUCGUCCAGAAUUCAAACAUCCUUUCGAUUUUGGGCUUCGUCCUGACAUA